AUUGAACGCUGGCGGCAGGCCUAACACAUGCAAGUCGAGCGGAUGAGGGGGGCUUGCUCCCUGAUUUAGCGGCAGACGGGUGAGUAAUGCCUAGGAAUCUGCCUGGUAGUGGGGGAUAACGUUCCGAAAGGAACGCUAAUACCGCAUACGUCCUACGGGAGAAAGCAGGGGACCUUCGGGCCUUGCGCUAUCAGAUGAGCCUAGGUCGGAUUAGCUAGUUGGUGAGGUAAUGGCUCACCAAGGCGACGAUCCGUAACUGGUCUGAGAGGAUGAUCAGUCACACUGGAACUGAGACACGGUCCAGACUCCUACGGGAGGCAGCAGUGGGGAAUAUUGGACAAUGGGCGAAAGCCUGAUCCAGCCAUGCCGCGUGUGUGAAGAAGGUCUUCGGAUUGUAAAGCACUUUAAGUUGGGAGGAAGGGCAUUAACCUAAUACGUUAGUGUUUUGACGUUACCAACAGAAUAAGCACCGGCUAACUUCGUGCCAGCAGCCGCGGUAAUACGAAGGGUGCAAGCGUUAAUCGGAAUUACUGGGCGUAAAGCGCGCGUAGGUGGUUCGUUAAGUUGGAUGUGAAAGCCCCGGGCUCAACCUGGGAACUGCAUCCAAAACUGGCGAGCUAGAGUACGGUAGAGGGUGGUGGAAUUUCCUGUGUAGCGGUGAAAUGCGUAGAUAUAGGAAGGAACACCAGUGGCGAAGGCGACCACCUGGACUGAUACUGACACUGAGGUGCGAAAGCGUUGGGAGCAAACAGGAUUAGAUACCCUGGUAGUCCACGCCGUAAACGAUGUCAACUAGCCGUUGGAAUCCUUGAGAUUUUAGUGGCGCAGCUAACGCAUUAAGUUGACCGCUGGGGAGUACGGCCGCAAGGUUAAAACUCAAAUGAAUUGACGGGGGCCCGCACAAGCGGUGGAGCAUGUGGUUUAAUUCGAAGCAACGCGAAGAACCUUACCUGGCCUUGACAUGCUGAGAACUUUCCAGAGAUGGAUUGGUGCCUUCGGGAACUCAGACACAGGUGCUGCAUGGCUGUCGUCAGCUCGUGUCGUGAGAUGUUGGGUUAAGUCCCGUAACGAGCGCAACCCUUGUCCUUAGUUACCAGCACCUCGGGUGGGCACUCUAAGGAGACUGCCGGUGACAAACCGGAGGAAGGUGGGGAUGACGUCAAGUCAUCAUGGCCCUUACGGCCAGGGCUACACACGUGCUACAAUGGUCGGUACAAAGGGUUGCCAAGCCGCGAGGUGGAGCUAAUCCCAUAAAACCGAUCGUAGUCCGGAUCGCAGUCUGCAACUCGACUGCGUGAAGUCGGAAUCGCUAGUAAUCGUGAAUCAGAAUGUCACGGUGAAUACGUUCCCGGGCCUUGUACACACCGCCCGUCACACCAUGGGAGUGGGUUGCUCCAGAAGUAGCUAGUCUAACCUUCGGGGGGACGGUUACCACGGAGUGAUUCAUGACUGGGGUGA
rnacentral:rRNA from 1 species